rnacentral:rRNA from 1 species
CUACGGCAAGCCGUACACAUGCAGUCGAGCGGAAACGAUGGAGCUUGCUCCAGGCGUCGAGCGGCGGACGGGUGAGUAAUGCAUAGGAAUCUGCCCGGUAGUGGGGGAUAACCUGGGGAAACCCAGGCUAAUACCGCAUACGUCCUACGGGAGAAAGCAGGGGAUCUUCGGACCUUGCGCUAUCGGAUGAGCCUAUGUCGGAUUAGCUUGUUGGUGAGGUAAUGGCUCACCAAGGCGACGAUCCGUAGCUGGUCUGAGAGGAUGAUCAGCCACAUCGGGACUGAGACACGGCCCGAACUCCUACGGGAGGCAGCAGUGGGGAAUAUUGGACAAUGGGCGAAAGCCUGAUCCAGCCAUGCCGCGUGUGUGAAGAAGGCUUUCGGGUUGUAAAGCACUUUCAGUGAGGAAGAAGGCCUUGGGGCUAAUACCCCCGAGGAAGGACAUCACUCACAGAAGAAGCACCGGCUAACUCCGUGCCAGCAGCCGCGGUAAUACGGAGGGUGCGAGCGUUAAUCGGAAUUACUGGGCGUAAAGCGCGCG